GCUUGAGGCCUCCUUUGGCACCAUGUGGGCGAGGGAGUACAUGGAGGAGGUCAUGUUUGACACGGCGUGAAGGCCCUGCCAGCUGGUGCCUUGAGGGCACCUGUCGACUUCGCUGGGGGCCAAUGCAUGGCUGCCAAGGGGGGGGCGGGGGGACCUCUGAGAACGGUGGGCGUGGGUAGGGAAUGCCCUUCACUAGGCAAAGCACCCGGGGCUUCUGCAGACAGUCGGCCAUUAGGCGGUUGUGUGGCUUUGGAGCUGCCACUAGCU
rnacentral:ribozyme from 1 species